GACGAACGCUGGCGGCGUGCUUAACACAUGCAAGUCGAACGGAAAGGCCCUGCUUGCAGGGUACUCGAGUGGCGAACGGGUGAGUAACACGUGGGUGAUCUGCCCUGCACUUCGGGAUAAGCCUGGGAAACUGGGUCUAAUACCGGAUAGGAGCCAUUUUUAGUGUGAUGGUUGGAAAGUUUUUUCGGUGUAGGAUGAGCUCGCGGCCUAUCAGCUUGUUGGUGGGGUAAUGGCCUACCAAGGCGGCGACGGGUAGCCGGCCUGAGAGGGUGGACGGCCACAUUGGGACUGAGGUACGGCCCAGACACCGACGGGAGGCAGCAGUGGGGAAUAUUGCACAAUGGGCGCAAGCCUGAUGCAGCGACGCCGCGUGGGGGAUGACGGCCUUCGGGUUGUAAACUCCUUUCGCUAGGGACGAAGCUUUUUGUGACGGUACCUAGAUAAGAAGCACCGGCUAACUACGUG
rnacentral:rRNA from 1 species